AUUGAACGCUGGCGGCAGGCCUAACACAUGCAAGUCGAACGGUAACAGGAAGCAGCUUGCUGCUUUGCUGACGAGUGGCGGACGGGUGAGUAAUGUCUGGGAAACUGCCUGAUGGAGGGGGAUAACUACUGGAAACGGUAGCUAAUACCGCAUAACGUCGCAAGACCAAAAAGGGGGACCUUAGGGCCUCUUGCCAUCGGAUGUGCCCAGAUGGGAUUAGCUAGUAGGUGGGGUAACGGCUCACCUAGGCGACGAUCCCUAGCUGGUCUGAGAGGAUGACCAGCCACACUGGAACUGAGACACGGUCCAGACUCCUACGGGAGGCAGCAGUGGGGAAUAUUGCACAAUGGGCGCAAGCCUGAUGCAGCCAUGCCGCGUGUAUGAAGAAGGCCUUCGGGUUGUAAAGUACUUUCAGCGGGGAGGAAGGGAGUAAAGUUAAUACCUUUGCUCAUUGACGUUACCCGCAGAAGAAGCACCGGCUAACUCCGUG
rnacentral:rRNA from 1 species